ensembl:snRNA U6 U6 spliceosomal RNA
GUGCUCACUUUGGCAGCACACACAUUAAAAUUGGAACGACACAGAGAAGGUGAGCAUGGCCCCUGCUCAAGGAUGACACACACGUUUGUGAAGUGUUGCAUGUUUUA